UGGGGAAUAUUGCACAAUGGGCGCAAGCCUGAUGCAGCAACGCCGCGUGAACGAUGAAGGUCUUCGGAUCGUAAAGUUCUGUUGCAGGGGAAGAUAAUGACGGUACCCUGUGAGGAAGCCCCGGCUAACUACGUGCCAGCAGCCGCGGUAAUACGUAGGGGGCUAGCGUUAUCCGGAUUUACUGGGCGUAAAGGGUGCGUAGGUGGUCCUUCAAGUCGGAGGUUAAAGGCUACGGCUCAACCGUAGUAAGCCGCCGAAACUGGAGGACUUGAGUGCAGGAGAGGAAAGUGGAAUUCCCAGUGUAGCGGUGAAAUGCGUAGAUAUUGUGAGGAACACCUGUAGCGAAGGCGGCUUUCUGGACUGCAACUGACACUGAGGCACGAAAGCGUAGGUAGCAAUCAGG
rnacentral:rRNA from 1 species